UUGAUGUAGAUGAGGAGACAUAAUUUUUAUGGGUAAUUUGCGUCUGAGGCUUCUCUGUGAAGCCAGACCAUUUUCACCUUGGAGAUCUGUUGCAUCCU
rfam:Triticum aestivum genome assembly, contig: Triticum_aestivum_CS42_TGACv1_scaffold_052473_1BS